rnacentral:misc_RNA from 1 species
AUGGAACUGAAAUCUUAUUGAAUAAAGAAAAGGUCUAUAUAUAUACGAGGAAGGAAGAGAGCUAAUGUAACAAAAAAGAAAAUAAAACUACUUUAAUAAUCUUCUCGUGGGUAAUUUGAUCAACCUACUGCGCAUCAUUUUACCCAAGGCCCAAACGCACCGUAUGAAUAAAUAAGCUUUACAUCCUUCCCCCAUGUAUUGUGCAGCUCUAUUGUCGCAGUGAAGCUUUAUGGGCAAUGAUAGUUGAAUAUGAAACUCUUGGAGAAUGUAAGUGAUCCAUUGGAGUUCACAAACAAUUGCAGCCAUGCUACGAUAUUCUGCCUGAGCUGAGGACCUGCUUACUGUAGUUUGCUUCUUGGAUUUCCGAGAGAUAAGACAGAAUCCAUCAUCAGUGUUAAGCUUUAAACCUUAUGGCAUUGGGAAAUUAGCAAUCUUGGCUUGUGUAAGCCCUGCAUCAUUGAUAAUGUCAAGAACAUUAGAUGAUCUUGCAAUCUACAGCCCAAAAAAGUACUUAACAU